AAGUGUGCCAUGUGUUGAGAGCAAAUUGUAGAGAAAAAGUGAGAGCCUUACUUAUUUAUGAGUGUGUAUGUGAACUUAAAUGUAAAAAAGAUUUGAGUUGAUACCAUUUUAAGAAAAUGAGUCAAGCUUUAUAAGAGGCAUGUUACUUCUGUGGGAUAUUAACACACUCUUUUACGCCUAGAGUGUGAAACACUUAUGGAGGCUGAAACAUUAGUUGAAAAGGUUUUGAUACCAUUUUAAAAAAAUGAGUCAAGUUUAACUUAAUUUCAAAAAGCUAACUCAAUGAGGGAGUAAGUGUCCAAGGCUUUGCAAAGGAAGUUUACUGAAGUGCAAUAUUAACAAGUCUUAUAAAAAGAUGGAUGACAGGGCUUCAAUUUUACACAACCGGCAUUUCUUGUUAGCAUUCAAGAUUAGCACAUGUUUUUGGUAGAGGCCACUACAAUCAUGCUCUUAGCAAGCCAUCAUCUGAGAAAAAUCACCUCUAUAAAGGGUUAUACAUUCUUGAGGUGUCAAUCAUGCCGUUUUAAAAAUACGACCUAGAAAAACAAUUGUAGAAAAAAAAAUGAAAGAAAUUGAUAAGACAAUUGCUGUGAGGACUGAUAGAGAAAUUUAGUGAACCUAUUGAAUGUGUAUUAAUAAUAGCUAGCAUUUUUAGUGUUCGUAUGUUGAAUUCUUGACGCAGAUUGAUUCAUGUAACUUGGUGCAUAGCAUCGGCACAUAAGCUCUGUUGCCUAGUGAUAUGAGUAUGAACAUGCCACUAGAGAUCUGAUGAAAUUAUGAUAAUACCUCUGGCUUCGUUCGUUAGGCUUAACUCAGAAUUUUGCUGGUACAAUGCUUUCAAGUGCCUUUCAAUUGCUUCAAUAUACACGGUUUAUACCUUAUUGUUAAAACAUGCAUGUGAAUUUAAGGUGCACACACAAUAGCAUAAUCACAAGAGAAGAAAAAUGAAUACAAGGUUUACAUGGUUUGACAGUAAGUCUAUGUACACGGGCAAGAAAGAAAAAAGUUUUAUUAUGAUAUAAUUACUUAGAACUCUCAAAUCUUAAUUGCUGUGUCUUUCUUGAUUUUCUCAUGAUUCUACCACAAUAGGUAGGGGUGAGCAUUUGGUUCGAACCGAACCGAACCGAAUUAAAUUAUAAAAACCGAAUUAUAUAUUUUGGAAACCGAACCGAAUCGAAAUUGAUAAAAAUCGAAUCGAAUCAAACUGAACCACUCUAUUUCAGUUCGGUUCGGUUCAAAUCGAUCGGUUUUGAUUUUUUAUUAUUUUUUAAUUUAGACUUAAUUUUCAAGUUA
rnacentral:misc_RNA from 1 species